rnacentral:lncRNA from 1 species
CCCGAAAGGUUAAUCAGAGGGUUUCGGACACGGCCGAAAUUUUUGGGUACCCUGGUGAAGAACCCUGCUGUCUGCGCAAUGGAAUUAGGGUCAACAAGUAUCUGUACUCGGACAUAGACCAGCAUGCAAGGAUGGUGGCCGCCGCGCGAUUGCCAGCACUCAGCGCUGCCUAUCCCCAGUUAUUUCCGCUCUCAGCAUGGAGCGAUACAUUUAUAGCACUGUCUCAG